rnacentral:rRNA from 1 species
CGUUGAAGGGCAACCGAGUAGACGUGGCGAAAGGGGCAGUAACGCAUAGGUAACCUGCCUCCGGGUCUGGGAUAAUCGGCGGAAACGCCGGGUAACACCGGAUGUCAUCACCUGUCGGCAUCGGCGGGGGAUGAAAGGCGACGCCCGGAGAGGGGCUUAUGUCCUAUCAGCUAGUUGGUGAGGUGACGGCUCACCAAGGCGACGACGGGUAGGGGGUGUGAGAGCACGACCCCCGCCACUGGCACUGAGACACUGGCCAGACUCCUACGGGAGGCUGCAGUCGAGAAUCUUCGGCAAUGGGCGAAAGCCUGACCGAGCGACGCCGCGUGGUGGAUGAAGGCCUUCGGGUUGUAAACACCUGUUGGGGGGGAACAAUGAUGAGUGAACCCCUGAGGAAGCACGGGCUAAGUUCGUGCCAGCAGCCGCGGUAAGACGAACUGUGCGAACGUUAUUCGGAAUCAUUGGGGCUUAAAGAGCGCGUAGGCGGCCGCGUCAGUCACUGGUGAAUCCCAACGGCUCAACCGUGGAAUUGCCGGUGAUACUGCGUGGCUUGAGGGGGACAGGGGCGUGCGGAACUUCCGGUGGAGCGGUGAAAUGUGUUGAUAUCGGGGGGAACGCCAGUGGCGAAAGCGGCACGCUGGUUCUUUUCUGACGCUGAGGCGCGAAAGCUAGGGUAGCGAACGGGAUUAGAUACCCCGGUAGUCCUAGCCUUAAACGAUGGGCACUGGGUAGAAAGUUCUCCAUGGGACCUUCUGCCGUAGUGAAAGUGUUAAGUGCCCCGCCUGGGGAGUAUGGCCGCAAGGCUGAAACUCAAAGGAAUUGACGGGGGCUCACACCAGCGGUGGAGCAUGUGGCUUAAUUCGAGGCUACGCGAAGAACCUUAUCCUAGGCUUGACAUGCGGGGAGUAGGAACCCGAAAGGGGGACGACCGGUAUCCAGUCCGGAUCCCGCACAGGUGCUGCAUGGCUGUCGUCAGCUCGUGUCGUGAGAUGUCGGGUUAAGUCCCUUAACGAGCGAAACCCUUGUCCCUAGUUACCAGCGGUUCGGCCGGGAACUCUAGGGAGACUGCCGUUGUUAAAACGGAGGAAGGUGGGGAUGACGUCAAGUCCUCAUGGCCCUUAUGCCUAGGGCUGCACACGUGCUACAAUGGGGCGCACAAAGGGCCGCGAGCCGGUGACGGCAAGCUAAUCCCAAAAAUCGCUCCCCAGUUCAGAUUGUGGGCUGCAACCCGCCCACAUGAAGCCGGAAUCGCUAGUAAUCGCAGGUCAGCCAUACUGCGGUGAAUGUGUUCCUGAGCCUUGUACACACCGCCCGUCAAGCCACGAAAGUGGGGGGCGUCCGAAGUCGCUGUGCUAGCCGCAAGGG